rnacentral:RNase_P_RNA from 1 species
GGGGCAAAGGGAAGUUCAUCAGUGGGGCUACAAGCGAGUGAGUCACAUCACUCUACCACAGCCCCUGGGAAGAUCUGAGACCAGGGGCAACAGCAGCCUUAACAGGGGCCUCCUGAGCCCCAGGGGAAGUGAGUGCCCAGAGAGCUAGGCUCCAUGAGCGGGCAGACUGGAGGUGAAAAGGACAGGGGCCAUCUCCUGGCUCCACAUAAGGAGACAAAGUCUGUGCAUUGGAGGACAGUCCCGCGGCUGGCUGGUUCUGAGGUGGCCCUCUCUGGGGACAUGAAGGUGAAGUGGAGGUACCUUACAUCUUUGUCCUC